rnacentral:rRNA from 1 species
AUUGAACGCUGGCGGCAUGCCUUACACAUGCAAGUCGAACGGUAACAGGUCUUCGGAUGCUGACGAGUGGCGAACGGGUGAGUAAUACAUCGGAACGUGCCUAGUAGUGGGGGAUAACUACUCGAAGGAGUGGCUAAUACCGCAUGAGAUCUACGGAGGAAAGCAGGGGAUCGCAAGACCUUGUGCUACUAGAGCGGCCGAUGGCAGAUUAGGUAGUUGGUGGGAUAAAAGCUUACCAAGCCGACGAUCUGUAGCUGGUCUGAGAGGACGAUCAGCCACACUGGGACUGAGACACGGCCCAGACUCCUACGGGAGGCAGCAGUGGGGAAUUUUGGACAAUGGGCGCAAGCCUGAUCCAGCAAUGCCGCGUGCAGGAUGAAGGCCUUCGGGUUGUAAACUGCUUUUGUACGGAACGAAAAGCCCUGGGUUAAUACCCUGGGGUCAUGACGGUACCGUAAGAAUAAGCACCGGCUAACUACGUGCCAGCCGCCGCAGUAACAC